rnacentral:rRNA from 1 species
UACGAAGGGGGCUAGCGUUGCUCGGAUUGACUGGGCGUAAAGGGCGCGUAGGCGGUUUGUACAGUCAGACGUGAAAUUCCUGGGCUCAACCUGGGGGCUGCGUUUGAUACGUGCGAGCUUGAGUUCGGAAGAGGGUCGUGGAAUUCCCAGUGUAGAGGUGAAAUUCGUAGAUAUUGGGAAGAACACCGGUGGCGAAGGCGGCUCACUGGCUCGUUUCUGACGCUCAGGCGCGAUAGCGUGGGGAUCAAACAGG